AAGAAGCGAGAGAGGAAGAUGCAGAAGCAGAACAGACCUGUGGAGAUGAUGAGGGCCUGGCCGGUGGGGUUGAUGUUGGCCUUCGCCCAUGGCAGCAUCCGCACGCUCGCCAUCUGAAGGAAAGGAUACCAAUCAGCAGAAUGGUAAGGUACUCGCUCGCCAUCUGAAGGAAAGGAUACCAAUCAGCAGAAUGGUAAGAUACUGCAGACUGAUGCUGUCACAUUUUAACACUUGUGGAGGGAUCAGAGAACGAGAUGAACUCACGGUGGGGAUCGCAGAGGCGAUGGUCGCUACAGCUGCUGCCUUGGCUCCUGCGAGUGUCGCCUCUGCAUCAUAUGCAGGCACG
rnacentral:lncRNA from 1 species